AGCGUUUGCAAAGCUAUUGAAAAAUAGCCAUUAUUUUGCUGUAACACGGAAAGUUCCAGCAUAAUAUACUGGAGAUUGAUGCAUCUGUGUAUGAACUUCCAGCAUAUUAUGCUGGAACUCCAACACACGGAAAGUUCCAGCAUAAUAUACUAGAGAUUGGAGCACCUGUAUGAGCUUCCAGCAAAUUAUGUUGGACCAAUAUAUUAUACUGGAACUCCAGUAAAUUAUACUGGAAGUUCAAUAUAUUAUGCUGGAACUCCAGCAUAAUAUGCUGAAAGUAUAUACUUGAACUCCAGUAUAUUUUGGUGGAAUAUUUUCCGAAUUUUGAACAAUAUUUUCGUUCAGAUUUAUCUUUACAUGAAAAGUGGCUAAAUUUCGAUUACUUUUGAAACUGUGACUAUUUUUCAAUUACCACUUGUAAAUCUGGCUAUUUUUGAAUUUCUCCCUCUAUUGUACGUCUAGACAUGUUCCUAACGACCCAAAUAAAUAAGAACAUGGAUGAAAUUCACCAAGAAUAUCAUUAGGCCCAAUUGCCUUUUCAACUAGGGAAAAAUAAAAAAUAGCCUGAUUUAUAACUGCUAAUUGAAAAUUAGCCAUAAUUUCAAAAUUAAUUGAAAUUCAGCCACUUUUCAUGUGAAAAUAAAAUCUGAACAAAAUACCCUUAAAAUCCAGAAAAAUUCAAGCAUAAUAUGUUGGAGUUCAAAUUUUUUACAUAUGAGAUGCCAGCAUAAUAUGCUGAAAUUCACAAUGUGUUGCAGUUCCAACAUAAUAUGCUAGAAGUUCAUAACAAGAGUUCAAUAAUCCAACAUAUUAUGCUAGAACUUUUUGUGUUUCAGCUACAGUACUUUUGUCCAUAUUUUAUCUCCGCAUUAAAUAGUGACUACUUCUCAAUAACUUUGCAAACACGGUCUAAUUUUCAAUAAUCACCAUAAAAAUGGCUAUGCCAUGCCAUUUUGACUUUCAACUAACCUAAGUCUAAACUCGUUUGUGCACAUUUAAUAUCAAUUAAACCAACCCCAAACUCUUGUGUGCCUCUCGGCCCAAUUUAUUCCAUUCAGCUAAUGGUCCACCUGCUUUUUAAUUAGUGAUUUUACUUAAACGACACAUUAUCUACCCAAAUUGAACAAUUAUAAUCAAAAUAGUUACUAAAACCAAAUGCAUUCCAUCCAAUAGUCAAACAUUAAGGAACUUCAGAUUAUUCACAACACAUCACAUAUAAUCACCCCAUCUGAACGUCAAACAAAAUCAUACAAGCAGCAGGAACCUAUUAAAAUAAAAUAGAGAAUUUGAGAAAUGGACCUUUAAUAGAGAAUUCCCUAAAAAAUUAGACGAAACGGAGAGCCUCUGACCGGAGCUUCGAUAGGCAGCCCUCGUUAACUCGAUUUGCCCUUACGCUUAGAUCUGAGUAGUGAUGGAAAAGUCUGGUUCUCUCUCCGAUUGAAUGUGUUGCCGGUGAAGUGCAGAUUGUGUGUGUAAAGUGUUGGAAUGUGUGAAAUGUGAAUUGAAUUGUGGUCUGUGGAAGAAGCUUUUUGUGCGUGUGUGUGGUGGAGUGUAAUUGGUAAAUAUCAAUUGUACAGUGGACGUGGCGAGAAUGUGAGGUGUGUGCAAUGUGUAAC
rnacentral:lncRNA from 1 species